UCAUUCAGAACCAGGUGGCAGCAAGAGGUGCCAAGAGGCAGACUUCUGUCAGCUCAAGCAUGCAAGGAAGAGCUCCCCUGAGGCCGUGCCAAGAUCCUGUUUGGCGUAAUGAUAUCCAGGCAAAGAGGGAAGUCACUGAAACCACCUGGGAGGAUGAUGAUGACGAUCUUUUCGGAAUCGCUGAAGCAGCAAUACCUGAGUCUGUGGAAACUCAAGAGGACUCACCACACAGAGAAGCUCAUCCUCCAUCACAGCACCCAAGGACACCAGAAACUGGAUCCAUCAGGAGGCAGGGGAAGGUGUUUGCAUGGAAAACUCCGUCUGCCUCUAACCUUCCUAGUGCCAGGACAUUCGCGUACCCAAAGCCAACUGUAAAGGCCCCUGCAUAUACAGUUUCUUU